rnacentral:rRNA from 1 species
UACGUAGGGUGCAAGCGUUAAUCGGAAUACUGGGCGUAAAGCGUGCGCAGGCGGUUUUGUAAGUCUGUCGUGAAAGCCCCGGGCUCAACCUGGGAAUUGCGAUGGAGACUGCAAGGCUUGAAUCUGGCAGAGGGGGGUAGAAUUCCACGUGUAGCAGUGAAAUGCGUAGAGAUGUGGAGGAACACCGAUGGCGAAGGCAGCCCCCCUGGGUCAAGAUGAUCGCUCAUGCACGAAAGCGUGGGGAGCGAACAGG